rnacentral:rRNA from 1 species
CGGUAACAGCUCAAAUUUGAAAGCUAGCUCUUUUAGGGUUCGCAUUGUAAUUUGUAGAAGAUGCUUCGGGUGUGGCUCCGGUCUAAGUUCCUUGGAACAGGACGUCAUAGAGGGUGAGAAUCC